GGCGAACGCUGGCGGCGUGCUUAACACAUGCCAGUCGAACGGUGAAGCGCCUUCCUUUUUGGUGGGUGUGGAUGAGUGGCGAACGGGUGAGUAACACGUGAGUAACCUGCCCCCUUCUUCUGGAUAACCGCAUGAAAGUGUGGCUAAUACGGGAUAUUCUGGGUCUGUCGCAUGAUGGGUCUGGGAAAGAUAUUGUUUCGGUGGGGGAUGGGCUCGCGGCCUAUCAGCUUGUUGGUGGGGUGAUGGCCUACCAAGGCGGUGACGGGUAGCCGGCCUGAGAGGGUGGACGGUCACACUGGGACUGAGACACGGCCCAGACUCCUACGGGAGGCAGCAGUGGGGAAUAUUGCACAAUGGGCGCAAGCCUGAUGCAGCGACGCCGCGUGAGGGAUGGAGGCCUUCGGGUUGUGAACCUCUUUCGCCAGUGAAGCAGGCCUGCCUCGUUUGUGGGUGGGUUGACGGUAGCUGGAGAAGAAGCGCCGGCUAACUACGUG
rnacentral:rRNA from 1 species